rnacentral:rRNA from 1 species
GAUGAACGCUGGCGGCGUGCCUAAUACAUGCAAGUCGAGCGAACGGACGAGAAGCUUGCUUCUCUGAUGUUAGCGGCGGACGGGUGAGUAACACGUGGAUAACCUACCUAUAAGACUGGGAUAACUUCGGGAAACCGGAGCUAUACCGGAUAAUAUUUUGAACCGCAUGGUUCAAAAGUGAAAGGCGGUCUUGCUGUCACUUAUAGAUGGAUCCGCGCUGCAUUAGCUAGUUGGUAAGGUAACGGCUUACCAAGGCAACGAUGCAUAGCCGACCUGAGAGGGUGAUCGGCCACACUGGAACUGAGACACGGUCCAGACUCCUACGGGAGGCAGCAGUAGGGAAUCUUCCGCAAUGGGCGAAAGCCUGACGGAGCAACGCCGCGUGAGUGAUGAAGGUCUUCGGAUCGUAAAACUCUGUUAUUAGGGAAGAACAUAUGUGUAAGUAACUGUGCACAUCUUGACGGUACCUAAUCAGAAAGCCACGGCUAACUACGUG